AUGGAUUGGAAUUUGUAAUUGAAAAAAUGGUUAAUGAUGACAGAUAUUACAAGGAGUUCGCCAAAAUCAAUUUUAUGAUCGCUGUACCAGACAAAACGGAGAUUGUCAACGAUAUACCACCAA